CUGAUCGUCAUCUCGUGCGAUCCCGACCCUCAGCUCCCACCCCACGACCUCGUGCCCGACGGUUGCUCCGCCCCUGCCUCCUCCUCGCCUCGCGACCUCCUCCUCCGGCCCCCACCGCCCACCCCCAUGCUUCGACGCCGCCGCAUCCCUGACCCCUGCCCUCUCGCCGGUGCUUUCGUCCCCCCCUCUCUCUCGCCAUCGCCGCUCCGCCGUCCCCCUCGCGCCUCCCUCUCUCGCUCACCGCCGCCGCCGCUCCGCCGCUCCCCUCGUGCCGUCCUCUCCUCUCCCUCGGCCACCUCUCCGUCGCGCUGCCACACCCGGCCUCUUCGCCGCGACGCCGACCGUGGGUUGGCUCGCACCCGCCGUCGCCACAUCUGGUCUCUCAGCGCUCCGGCCUCCCCUAUGCUCUGUGUCUCUCCGGUCUCCACAUCACUCCAACGCCGAGGCAGCCGGCACCUCCCAAGUCCUCCACGGCUCCCCGACGAGAGGCCCACGGUCCGCCGGCUCCGGGCGCACGGCGUCUCCAAGCUCACGUCCGGCCUCCGAGCGCACUGGGCACCUUCAGCCUCCCAGCGCUCCGUUGCUCCCCAACGUGAGGCCCAUGGCCCACCGGCUCCAGGCGUGCGACGCCUCCAAGCUCCUCCACCACCACCUCUGCCCCAUUCAGUAUGGAUGUUGAGUUUGCUAUUAUUCCAAAUUGGACUCCAAUCCAUGAAGUGGACUGAAAUCCAUUUUUUUUGUCCCAUCUGCACGUGAAGAGAAAGAGGAGACACCUCUCAGAUCCUGAGAAGACUCCAAUGUCCAAUGAACUGCAAACUCUGGUAAUCUGUCUGUUUGGAGCCAUGACGAGUUGUGGUAGACUUGUUCUCUUGUCUUGGAUUUGUAACUGAUAAGUGAUAGUCUUUUCAUAUAUAUUUUUUAGACUAUGGAGAAACACUUUCUGAGUUUGUAGGGAAUCAGUUCCAUAGAGUCCUAUACUCCUCUGUUUUUUAAUAUAUCGUGAAAAAUAUAUCCUUAAAACUUGGGUACAUGCCCUAUGCCGCAUCACAACUAUGAUAGCAUACUCUACCAACAAACCACAUACCAGAGUUUGCAGUUUGAGGAAUAAAAGUAGAGUGUCAUAAAUAUGCAUGGAUGUUGAAACUUGGCGCAAUCAAUUGGUGAGCAUUUUGGAUGUUCGUUUUUGUUUGGCAACUAACUACUGAAAAGUUUAGUUUUCACCCGUUUGGACUUUUGAUGGAAUGUAUAGCAGGUGGUAAAAAUAAAAAGGAAAUAAACUAUCUAAUGUUUGAA